UCCGGUUCCGCCAUUUGAAAAAAAACGUUCGUAACUGCUCAGCUGAACCCGAAGCUUGAUGAAGAAGGCCGUCAAUAUUUCAACAAAAACUAACAGAAUAUGGAUCAGAUUCGGACAACGACUUCUUAAGACAUUCACACAACAGGCUAAACAAUUCAAAGAGGGAUCUCUGGAUGAUCGAGCAGCAAGUCCAGCAUUAUGUGGGAAAGAUACUACAGGUGUACACAGAAAAGGCCAUGUUCUUGUACAAGACACGGUUGGAGUUCAUAAAAGAUUAAGCUGCCUCGUGCUAUACAGACUUGGAUAAAAACAAGCUGUCCAAUGAAUGGUGACUACUCAAGAGGAGCCAGAAAGUCAACUAAAGCCAGGGUAUUUUGGGAGUUGAUAUGGCGGGGGGAGGGGGGGUUUCCAGGGCCCCCCCCCCCUUCCUUGAGAUCUUGACCGCACAAUCGCGUCUAACAUUGGCACAUGGGUUGUCUAGGGCAUAAUUUACAAAAUUAAAUUGUAAAUUAUUUCACGCAAAUUGUUAGUAAGUGAUAAUACUAAUUUAUGCGUAAUUAGAAUACAAAAUCAUACUUUUUCCUCUAUUGCAUUGACUUUGUACACAAAAUCACGUUUUUGAGCAAUUUUUGGUAUGACAUGUACUUACAUAAUGUCACGUUAUUACAGAACCACGUACCGGGUGACACAAGAUUGGUCUCAAAAGAUGCACAAGACUAGAAAGAGGCAUGUUUUAAAAAAAUUGUGCGACAGCAUGGUCGCAAAAUUUUUGGAAGGGGGGGGGGUCAAAUUGGUCCAAUUUAACUAAGGGUUAAUAACUGGGAGGCUGCAUUAGCUGCCUUUUUACUUUCAAGUCUUGCACAUCUUUUGAGACCAAAUUUGUGAUGCCUGGGUACGCUGUUCCGAAAUUUCGCAACAUUUUUAUGUAUUAAUCCAACACAAAUACUGUUUCUUGCUAAAAAUUCACAAUUAGUAUACCAGUAAUAUACAUUUAUCAAGUCAAAUUAUUUAAUUACAUUUAUAAUCAUAAAAGCUUUGAUAAAGUAUAAAAAAAAAACAAAGAGUUGUAUGUAGGCCUGGGACUUUCGGGUUUUUUCUCUUCGGGUACCCGUGGUAAUUUUCGGGUGGGUACCUGAAAAUCAUGUCACUUGAAAUAUGACUGGUGGAAAAACCCCAUAGGUGACGUCAUCAAGCCAAUGCGAUGCAAGCCAAUUUAUGAAUGAAAAUAUAGUAAGCAUGCGCAUUGCAAGCCUCCCGUGCCCCACGCAGUAUUCCAUCGAAACAAGUUUCAAUACUCUGUCACCUCGUACCAAAAUCGACCUAGAAUUCCACUUUCCUAUAUAUCAUAUGAAUUAUAAAAGGUUUUCUCACCGAUACUGCACAGGUAAGCAAAUUUUUAUUCUUGCUUUUCCGUCAAAAUCUUACGAAGUAGCAUCGAUAUUACAUCGUGUUCGUGAGUUUGUAUCGCUACGUGAACAAAGUCAAUUGAUUUCCGGGUUUCAGAGCGUCAAAUGCGCCAGCCAAUCACGAUCGUGUUCCCAUUUUCGGUUUAUGAUGAACUAAAAAUGGUAACAAGAACGUGAUUGGCUGGUGCUUCGUAGGUCGAUUUUGGUAUGAGGUGACAGAGUAUUGCAGACUUGUUUUGACGUAAUACUGCGUGGGGCUGAGGCUUGCAAUGCGCAUGCUUACUAUAUUUUCAUUCAUAAAUUGGUUUGCGUCGCAGUGGCUGGAUGACGUCACUGCGCUGCAAAAGAAACAUGGCGAUGAUUGAACGAUCUCGGUCACAUCAUCAUCACUUGAAAACUUGUAUAUUUAUGGAUAUUUAGAGGGUAAUUGGUGAAAUUCAAAAUGAGGCUUGUGUACUUUUGUAAUGAGUUACAAUCAUGUCUUACACUACGCAAUACAAAUCAAAUACAUGUACAUUAUACUGGUGAGCAAUUUUCGGGUAUCGGGUAUUGAUUUUUCUACUCGGGUACCCGGGUUUUAGUCCCAGCCCUAGUUGUAUGAAAAUUUUCAAAAAUAAUGAAAGGUAAAAGAAAACAAGAUUACAAUGUCCAUUGCAAGGGGGCUAGUCUAGCUAUUCAGGAUAAUUGGGAUUUUAUUCAGUUUUUAAUUGACAUAACAUUAUGACAAGAUCCCUCCAUUUAGUGUAUAAACAGCACAUGGCCAUGAUUGAAAUUCAUAUAACAUUAAAGUAUGCAAACCAGGCAGCUACAUGUACAUGUAGGACUCACUGCUUGUCAAUUCUAUUGUCUGCCAGGGUCAAGUGACAUACAGUGCACAUGUAUAACAUACAUGUGUGAAAGUACAUAAGAAAAUCAGCUUUUUAUUUUUGUACUGUAACAUUGGGUGAACUGGUGAUCACUUUGGAUAUGAUGCUCUUCAUAUUGGUUUAUUUUAUGUAUAUGAAUUUUUGGAUAAUCAUUAAGAAUUAAAGCCAUUUACUUAAUAUAUGGAAGCAUAAGCCCAUCAAAGAACAGAAUUAUGUCAUGUACAGCUAAUUCAUUUUGCGUGAUAUUACAAUUGUAAUUGUUUACUUGAGCAAGUAAUUUGAAUUGCUGCAUGACCUAAACAAUGACAUGUUCCAAUUCGAAUAGUAACAUGACCUAAAGAAGAGUUACUCCACCUCGAUUGAGAGUGCUUAUGUUAAAUAAUUGAUGUUGCUACUUCAAAUAAUUGAGGUCAAUCAAAUUGGUCAUAAUUAUUCAAGUCAAUUUUGAGCUAUAUGUCAUAAUUAAUUAGGUCAUAUACUAAUUGAAAUUACUAAAUGACUCGAGUAGGUAUGAAUUCACAUUGCCACAUGACCUUAAUUAUUUUAUGUAGCAACAUCAAGUAUUGAACGUCAUUUAGUUAUCAAUUAUGACAUGUAGCAAAUCAAAUUACAUGCCGCAAUUUCGUGUUUAUGAUGGGCUCAUGCUUACAUUCAUAUAUAACCCUUCAAUACGUAGUUGGAGCAAUUCUUAGACAAGAAGACUGUGUAAAAUGAUAUGCCUAUUCAAUGUCAAAAAGGUUAAUGUCUCAAUAGAUUUGAUCUACGUUUUGGCAAAGUAAUCUUAUGUUCAUAUUUUUUCUAACCUAUGGUGAACGUUCUAAAUCAUGUGAAAUUCAUUCAAAAAUAUCUUUCAGUAUUUAUGGACUUAAGUGAAUUCUGAGCAAAAUGAAGUGAUUAUGAUUACGUUCAUGUACUUUAAGUUUAUACUGGUGAUCAACACAUCAUAAUUUCAUCCCUUACUGUAUGUGCACCAUGCAUUAUCUGUACAUGCAGAAGUGGUUAUCCAUUGUUUCAUAACAUGGUUGAGUAAAGGAUGUUCUGCUUUUAGUAUUAAGCCAAUCGGGUGUUGACAAGAAGGGGAAAAUGCAAUUGCUCAGCUAUUACAGUUUUUUUUGCAACCAUAAUACUGGUUAAGCCUUGGUUACAUUCGCCGGCUCGUGGCCUUACGUCGAGUCAAAAUUAACAGUCUUAAUCAUCCUUGUACCAGCUACUACCAGCUACACGUGGGUGGUUUGUACAGGAAUACCUAAAACUGCUGAUUUUGUCUCGCCGUAAGGCAACCGGUCAAGGAAUGUGACCAAGGUAUUAAUAAUAAUCGCUUAUUGUUGUGUUAGAGGGAAGGAUUCUGGGUCGAAUCUAGCUUUCUUUAUGUGAUCUCAAAAUGGCAGCAAUGUAUGAAUAGUGAAAGUAGUUCAUGUGGCAUCUCAAUGUUCAUGGAUAUAAAUCUUUGUACAUGUCUUAUCCUAAAGAUGAAAUGUUACUGCAUUAUUCUAGCAGUCAUUUAUGAUAUCAAAGAUGUUCUAUACUGUGCAUAGUACAGCUCAUACAUAAUAAAGGUAUGUGAAUAUGCUUUUAACGUCUUUGCAAAUUUGUGGGUUUUUUCACGCCUCUUUUCAUUAGUCAAGAUGUCAAAGUUGUUGUGCUGGAUCACAGGAAAUUCUUACAAACUACUACGCCUAACAAACCAGUGCAGGACGGUGUCGUGAGAAAAUCGCACAGACUACUACAGGACAAUACCAUAGGAUUGUCACAGGAAAUCAACAAGAAUACCCCUGCAGGUUUACCACAGUAAAGUAUCACAAGAAGGCUGCAGGAUGAGACCAAUAAUGCCACAGAAGAUAUCAAAGAUCAGUAUCACAGGAAUACCACAGGACAGUACUGCAGGAAUUGUCCUGCGGUAAGGUCUCUUGGUAUUCCUGCAGUACUGUCCUGUAGUACUGUUCUGUAGUACUUUCCUGUGAUACUGGUCUGCGGAAUUCCUAAAGUACUGUCCUGUCAUACUGUCCUGUGAUACUAUUUAUCACCACAGGAUAGUAUCACAGGACAGUACUACAGGAAUACCAGACCAGUAUCACAGGACAGUACUACAGGAAUACGAGACCAGUAUCACAGGACAGUACUACAGGAAUACCAGACCAGUAUCACAGGACAGUACUACAGGAAUACCAGACCAGUAUCACAGGACAGUACUACAGGAAUACCAGACCAGUAUCACAGGACAGUACUACAGGACACAGUACCAGAAGCCUGCGGUACUCCUGUAGUACUGUCCUGCGAUACUGUUCUGUAGUACUUCCCUGUGAUACUGGUCUGCGGUAUUCCUGUAGUACUGUCCUGUCAUACUGUCCUGUCAUACUAUCCUGUCAUACUGUCCUGUCAUACUAUCAUGUGAUACUAUCCUGUGAUACUAUCCUGUGAUACUGUCCUGUAGUACUAAUAGUAGUGUGGUAGUGGUUGUAGCGGUUGUAGCGGUUGUGGUGAUCGUGUCCUGUCAUACUUCCUGCCAUACUUAUGCGGUUAUUACCACAGGAAGUAUCACAGGACACGGACCUGUUGUACUCCUGUUGUACAUUUCUGUAGUACCGUCCCAAAUUACGUGCACGUAAUUCCUGCAGUACUUUCCUGCGAUACUUCCUGCAGUACAUAUCACAGAGUACUACAGGAAUUUUUUGUAAGGGCACCCACUCGUUGUAGCGGGGAGUCCGUUGCCAAAUAAAUAAAAGAAAAAAAAAAAAAAAAUUUUUGAGAGAGUGUGGGGUGACUGUGUAUGUGAAUAAGUACAUGUAAUUUGUCUGUGGUGUGAGCGGGCACUAGUCACUAGCGUGAUUGAGGACAGAACCAGCUUCGAGGAUUAAUAAAAUAAAUAGCCUAGGUAAAUUAAUAAAAGACAAGUUAGGCUUAACGUUAGAGGUUAAUAUAAAUAUUUUUAGAGCUACAAUUAUUCUUUUUGGCAGUGAUAGUGCAAACUAUUAGCCACAACCGGACUAAACUAAUCUAAUUAAUAAUAAAAGCUAGAAUUUUAUACCAUAAAUUGGGUUUGCAUUUGGACCUAAUUUUUUGGGAUAGCUUUUUUGGAUAACUUUAGCAGGUUUUUGGUCGGGCUUAUCGCUGUGCCUAACCAUUGACUGUUAAAGGUAUAUUUUUGGACUUUUACCGGUUUUAUAAUUUUAGUUGCUAAAAAUAAAAGAAUUGUUAUAAAAUAAAUUGGGUCUGCAUUUGGACCUAAUUUUUUGGGAUAGCUUUUUUGGAUAACUUUAGCAGGUUUUUUGGUCGGGCUAAUUACUGUGCCUAACCAUUGACUGUUAAAGGUAUAUUUUUGGACGGUUUUAUAAUUCCAGUUGCUAAAAAAUAAAAGAAUUUAUUGGGACCACUUUUGGAUAAAUCUAAGUAGGUUUUUGGUCGGGCUUAUUAUUGUGCCUAACCAUAAACUGAUUGGGGUAUACAUUUGGAUCUUUUUGUAAUCUAAUUGCUAAAAGAAAAUACUAGGAAGAAUUUAAUAAAUAACUUGGGUUUGCACUUGGACCUAAUUUAUUGGGAUAGCUUUUGAAUAACUCUAGUAGGUUUUUUGGUUGGGCUUAUCACUGGGCCUAACCAUAAACUGAUUAGGGUAUACUUUUGGACUUUUUUACAGGUUUUUGCAAUUUUAAUUGCUAAAAGAAAAUACUAGAAAGAAUUUAAUAAAUAAAUUGGGUUUGCAUUUAGACCUAGUUUUUGGAUAACUUUUGGAUAAUUUUAACAGGGGUUUGGUUGGGCUCAGUAUUGGGCCUAACUGAACCUUGCUAGGAUAACACCAAUUAGGGUAAGCACAACAUGGACGGGGAAGAGAAAAUCCCCAUUAAUGUGUGCUCCUUUGAGGAGUUUAGGUUGCUAGGGCUAAGUCCAGCUCUAGCAGGGAUAAUCCAGGGGAUUAGACUUGAUCAUGGGGAGAUAACCCCCGAGCUUUUCGAAAGCAGCCCAGCGCUAUGCAGCAAUAGGGAGCUAGCACAAAGAGUAGACUUUUCGGGGGGCACCCAGGGGGUAGAGGGCAGUAUUUUUAUUACCCCUAGGGGGCGCAUCACUGCGGGCACCCGUAGCGAGUCUGACCUGAAUGGGGUGGCAGGUUCCAGGGGUGUUUACCCCUAUGACCAACACCAGCCCCCUAGGUCAAGUCAAAGUAACCAGUCUAGUGGGUCCUGGGGCACCAGCUCAUCUCACUUCCGGGAGGAGCGGGGGCAUGAGCCCCCAAGCACCAGAGGGGGAGAUAUGGGGAGUGGUGUAGAGCCUAGGUUUAGGCUCAGGAAUCUAGUUGGCGAGGAGGCUAAUGGUGCCUCUGUCAAUAGAUUUAUGCAGGCGAGUGGCGAUUCAAGCGAAUGGUCUGGGGGCGAUGACCCCACCACCAAGCAAGCGGUAGCCAUGAGGUCCAAGGUAGGUGAAGGAAGGGGCUCCUUGGCCCCACCCCCUACCCCAGAUUACAGCGCAAGGAAUGUGCGGGCGGGUAUGACACGCCCAGCCCAGUACAGUUCAUCUUCGCCGCUUAGUAGCCCGGCUGCAUCACCUGCGAAUUCUAGUGGUUCCUCAGGAAGGGGGACUGGUGGUGGAUUACCAUAUUACACGCUGCCAAAGUCCCUCACUUUCAACGGCAAGGGUAACUGGAGGGCUUUCUUCAGAAAGUUCUCCGCCUUUGCUGAUCACCAUAAUUGGACUGCAAUGGAGCGCGUAAGCCAGCUAUACUGGGGCCUGAAAGGGAAGGCUGAAGAUUAUUUGCUAAUGGUCUUGGACCAAGAGCCAAAUAUGCCAUAUGCAGGUCUAGUGGCCCGGCUGCAGCACAGGUUCGGGGAGGAAGGGCUCUCUGAAUCUGCUCAGCUGGAGUUUGUGGCAGCCAAGCAGGGACCCACUGAAUCCCUGCCAGACUGGGCAGACCGGGUGCUCCAGCUAGCAGCGCGUGCUUUUCCAGGGGUCAAUGGGUCCUACCCGAAUAGACAGGCGGUCCUUCGCCUGUGCCAGGGCGCCCUCAACCGAGAGGCGGGGUGCCACGCGCUUACGCGGAAUCCAUCUACCGUGAAUGAGGCGCUUAAGUAUAUUGAGUGGCACCAACACGUGCACCGCGCAAUGUACGGGCGUCCCAAGGCAGUGUCUAAGGCUAAUGAAGGGGAGGUCCGUAAGGUGGAACUACCCCAAGGGAACAAUGCAGCCCUUGAGCAAAGGUUGGUGAACCUAGAACGCAAGACCGAUGAACGCUUGGGCCACAUCGAGCGGGAUCUGCAGCGUCUGGGUGGUUUGGAACGGGACCUCAAGAAGGUCCUGGAGGCUAUCCAGACUAGGCCCCAACCAGCGCGUGAACGCGGGAGGUCACCCGGUCGGGACCGGUGCUAUGAGUGCGGCGGGAUUGGCCACUACAGGAACAAUUGUCCUUCGGUCCAGGAAAACAGGGCCAAGGUACAAGUUUCCUUUGUAGGGGACCAGGAGGAGGAAAACUCCAACGGGUCGGAGGAGCUGGCCAGCCACCGGCCCCCACCGCCAGAGGCCAAAUAGAGGGUUCCAAGCUAGCAAGCAGCUCAGAGGGGCCAUCCGUAGGCUCAUCUGAAGGAAUAACAGAGGGCGUGUCGGAGCGCCUGAUAGUCCCAGGGAAUAAUGUAACCGGAAUAGCUACUUAUGUAGAGGCUGCGGCGGGGGAUCCAGUUGGUCCCUCGAACACCCGAAUAUCAGACCUGGGUGAAGCCAUUCUGGAAUCAGUUCCAGAUGCUCUCACAGGGCUUGGGUGUGCAAGCGAGAUUGAAGAGGUAGUGGUAUGUAGGUUGGAGUCGCGCUCUACUCUCAAGGUCUCAGUUGUUAUAGGGGGGCAGCCAGUAAGCGCAGUUGUCGAUACCGCAGCCGAGGUGUCCAUCAUCUCGGAUAGGCUCCUGCAGUCACUGGACCCCCAGCCCCCUAAACUGAGAGGAGUGAUCCUACAUGCAGCGGGACGGGAUAUGAAGAUGAGAGGGACAAUUGUCGGUCCCCUUUCCAUAGAGCUUGGGAACCAGACGUUCUCGGAGGAAGUAUAUGUAGCCCCUAUAGCUGAUCAUAUGCUCCUGGGAUUAGAUUUCCUCAGCAAGCGCAAGGCUGCGAUUCACCUCCUAGAUCCGCAUAUGCAGUUGGGAGGUCAGAGGAUUCCACUUUGGUAUAGUGAUGACCCUGGGCGGCAGAUUGCCCGGGUUCAUUUGCACAAGCAAGUAAUUGUUCCUCCGAAUGCAGUCAAGCGGAUCACCGGCGUUAUAGACCAACGUUUAGGGGAUUUCAUCUUUAACCCUUAGGAUGGCUUACUGCUCCUAGUUCCCGGUUCGGUUUACAGGGCUGGGAAAACAGAACCCAUCUGAUAGGCACCUUAAGGUAAUCUGCUCUGAGGUGUUGGGGGAAACUGAAAAAUUGAAGGGAAGGGAGACGGGAUCGCUCCCUGUUGAAAUAUGGGUUCACCUGGAUCGCGGUUCCUCUACCAAAGUACAGGCAAGCAGCCGUACUAUUGGGGCUAAUGGUUCAACGUGUAGGUGGAGCCAGUCCAGUACAUGUCGGUCAGGGUGAGGCCAGUGGGCGUUACCGAUGGGCAGCUGCCCAUCGACCCGGUACGGGUGGAACAGGAGAAGGAUCCUACCCUGGGUUCACUAGCGAGGUGUGAGGGCUUGUCACCUCGGCCCGGCAGAUAAGGUUUCUCACCCUCAUGGAGCGAGCUAGGAUUAACCAUCUGGCACUCUAUGGGGUGUAGUGAGGAAAAAAAAGGGGACUGGAGGAGAUCUGUCCUCCAUUUUUCACGAAGGGAUUUCGAUUCCCUUUGCAUUUUUUGGGGUUAGGUUAGCGCGUUUAGGACCCUACACGUUUUCUGUACAGGAGGAGACCAGCUGGGUCGCCUCCUCUUGGUGUCUUUUGUGUUCGUUGUCUAUGUUUUCGUCUAUCUUUUUGUAUAUGUAGGCCAUGUAGGAAAUGCUUCAUGGUCCGCUUUGGAGGGGAGUGUUUUAAAUGGCCCUUUUCGCAUAAUGGCAGCGCUGACGCCCCCUUCCUGCACCUGGGGGACCUAGGUUGGGUACUGGUGCUCCAGUCUCUCAACCGAACCGGAAUGCUAUGUGUUGCACAGCCCGGGUAAGAUGGUGCCUCGACAGGGGAGGGCCAGCGGCAGCCCACUGCUAUGGGAAAGUGGAGCUUUCUGGGAAGGGGGGACCCUCCUGGGAUAUGGGUUUUUGUAUGGGUUUUAUAUUUUUAUAUAUAUAUACCAUUGUUCUAUAUGUUUUGUAUGGGUUUUUUAAAGAACCUCAAAACUCUAGGUUUUUAGGUGUUAUUAUGGGUUUUUACCGUUUUCAUGUUACGGGUUUUUAAAGUUUAAAGUGUUGAACAAGUUUUUAGCACAGUUGUGCCAAGUGUUUUGGAUAGUUUUGGAGUUUUUAUUUAUAAAAGAACGGAAUAUGUUUAUGGCUGAUUACGGGUAGCAAAUUAUAAUUAAUUUUGGGAAUGCAGACUUGGGACAGAACAAUGCUGCAUAAGUACUUUUUGCCAAAUUUUAAGGAGCAUUGUGUACAUAAAAGACCAAAGGGAAUUUUUAAAUGGGCUUGUAUUUACUCAUGCCCAGCCGGGAGAUAAGGUCUCCUGGUUGGGGUGCCUAGGGAGUGGAAAAUUUUUUCCUCCCUCUGCCUGGUGUCUGGUUUGGAUAGCGUCCAUUUGGGUUGGAAACUCGAGGGACCGAGUUUUAUAGAACGGGGGGGACUGUUGUAGUAAGUCACCCCACCCCCCAUAUAGGUCUUCCACCGGGAGAUGGCGCUGGACCCCUUUUAGACGCUGGAGGACGUUGGAUCCCUUGGAUCAUCGUAUUUGAAGCUGAACUCACACGGAAUAGACAGGAACUAGGACAUCACUCCAGGAAAAUACUGAUCCAGUGGGACCAAGUUCUUAGCAGUUCACACCUAGUCAGAAGUACAAAAUUGAGAACCAUGCCGAUCAGCAAGUGUUAGUUACAAUCUAAUGAGGAACAGGAUAUCUGAAUGGAAAAAUUGCAAGGUUUCCCACUUCCUAAGCUGUUUAAGUACUGGUAUCACAACAUAAGUGCCAAGAAGAGAUAUGAAACGGUCUCAAAAUUUUUGCUGGUGCCCCCCCCCCCCCCCGAUGCCGUGACCCAAGGUACGCCACUGCAAGUCUUCAUAAAUUGUGUAGGGUUAUUAAGUUGCAUUUAUUGUUAUCUUCAUUUUUAAAAAAUGUGAAAUGGGCUACCACUGCAAUAAUAUAUAAAUAGACUAUAUUUCAAAAAUAGAUUUAAUUCUAAGCACAGUGACAGUAGACAAAUCAAAUUUUGUUAAUGAUUCGCUAAUGUAUUGAUUGGGGAAGGCACUCUUUAGGAUUCUGGCAUUGUGUCCCACCCCCCCCCCCCUUAUGAGGAGUGCUCUCACAUCAGAAGACUAUUUCUUGUCAGCAAAUUUGAAAGGAAUUUACCAAUUUUUUUGAGUGAUAAACUUUUGUGGAAGAAAAUAAACGAAUAUCAAAAGUUUUUAUGCUCUUUUAUGGAAUAUUAACUAUAGGCUCAUCGAGAUCCUUUGAAUGAAAUUUUAACAAACAUUGUACAAUGUAGAAAAAUGUACUUAAUCCUAUUUUUGUACAUUUAUAUACCCACCCCAUACUACCCUUACCCAGUAACAGCCCUUUUUAGCUAUGCAUUGCCUUCAUUUUUUAAAAUACAAUUUAAUGCUUGGUAGAUGCUAAUUAUUAUUUGUAUGUUAAUGUCAAUGUUUUAGAAAAUGGAUUCCUUAAUAAACAUGUUAAUUUUGAAUUGAAUUUUUUGAUCUUGGUAAUUUUCAUUUAUCAAUUAAUUGUGAUGAUGUAUUGCUUCUGAGCUGUUAUGCACAAAUGGCACAAGAUGUUGCACUGUACUGAAAUGUGAUGAUACCACUGUUACAUGAGAUCAAACAGCAGUCAAUUAAAAUAUUAUUCAAGAAAAAUAAGGAUAAGAGUGGGAAAGAAAGUAA